UUUGUGAUUAGCCAUUGCUUCCUUGUAGUCUGAAUGGUUGCUGGUAACCAGCAGAAAGACCUCAGCUGGAGCCUGGGACUGUAACACGGAGGGUGCUCAAGAAACAAAGGAAGGGAGUUAUUCUUCACUGAGUGAGGGCUACAACAGCACAGACUCUGAGAAUGAAUUCAAUGCAUCCCAGAGGAGGAAGGAGUUAUCACCAGGCCAGGUUCCUGGGCGUUUUUAAGCUGUGUCCCCAGUGCAGGCUGUAUUGCGGCUGCUCGGAGGAGACGUCACCUCGCCAGGACCCGAGCUGAUUAUCUUCCCUUGGAUGCUUCAAAUGAUCGUCAGCUUUCUCAGAGAAGAGAAGGCGGUGAUUCAGAGGAUGAGGACGAGCCUGGUAGGAAUCAUCUCUAUUUUGUUCCUAAAAAGAGAACUCUUAGGCGUAGGAUGGCUGAACGCGUGGGUGAGUUGGUGCCUUUUCUCCCAGAGAGAGGCUGUGUCUUUUACUGAUGGAUGUCCGGAAGAAUGUGAGACUUGCCCAGUGAAGAGUGCAGUGCAAAGUUUUGCCCUUGAUCUUGACAGAAGACCAUAAUGCUUGGUGGUCCUUGAGGCUUAUGUGGGCUGUUCCUGCUCUCCACACACUGACAUUACGACUGUUAUGGGAAAGGGGUAAAAACAAACCAACAACAAAACACAACCAACCAGAGCCAGCCAGCCCUUUGGAAGUAGGCAGACUUACUGCAUGCCAAGCGUAUGUGGCUUUUCGGUUGCUCCUUAACUCAUCUUGCUGUUUGCAGUUUCACUUACAAAGCACUGGUUUGCCAGGCUUGUAGACCAAUCGCUUUAUUGUUUGGAUAAUGGUUGUAAGUAAUAUGCAGGUAUGGUCUGACUCUAUUGCUGUAAUAAAUGCUACG
ensembl:lncRNA